UGCCUUGUGAAAAAGGUGUCUGCUUUCCCUUCGCCUUCCGCCAUGAUUGUUAAGUUUUCUGAGGCCUCCUAGCCACACUUCCUGGUUUUUGUCCCUCUCUUAAAGUGAAUGGUCACAGAGCCAUGAACAGGUGGAAGAUGCAGGUGGAGGCAUCUUCCUUGUCACCGUUGGUAUGUCUGGUUGAAACCUGCAACAAGAGGCAGCACUGUGUCGCAUGGCUCCAGAGAGCACCACUCUCCUUGUGUUCUAUGCAACAUGCCCACGAGUUAUGCAUUGCAGCACCUGGCCGUAAAUCAUCACCAACCCUAUGGAUGAAGCAACACCCCAGGGAGGGUGGAGAAGUACAGGGGAAGGAGCCAGGGCCCCCAUGAAACAAACAUUUCUUCCAGGAAUUUCCCAAGCCCAGACCAUUGCAUGAAAAGAGAAAUAAAAUACU